rnacentral:rRNA from 1 species
AACCGUACAGAAGUAACUUGGUGGAAGAGCAAUGUCGCCUGUAGAAUUCAGCUAAAUGUUGGGCUACUUGCUGGUUGCCGACCGUUUCACGACGGUGUGCUUCUAGUAGUGAUGGCUUGAUGUCUGGUGCACUUUCUGCAGGUGAGCGCAAGGAUCGCUUGGUGCGUCGUCUAAAGUCUUAACGGAGCCGCCUCGGGGUCAAACCUGGGAGCGUACGUUGAGUAACCUGUCGAUUGCGUCGAGUGAGAUCACACUCUGGCCGCAUGUCUCUCAGUGGCUGCCGUGGUGAGGGAUUGAACUGUAUUAGUGACAUCGGUAAAACGGUGUCCUGUGCGAAUCUCCUUUGCUAUUGGUAGUUGCGCGCGAGAGAUGUCAGAUAUGAUCAUUUGCGUCCGAGUCUCGCUCCCACCUAUAUCGUCUUGAAACACGAGCCGAGAAGUCUAACAGAUGCGCAAGUCAAUGGGCUAUCAAAUAACCCCAAAGGCGCAAUAAAAGUAAAGUCGUGGCCUUGUGCUCGGCGAGCUGAGAUCCGCAGUUCUCUGUGGCGCAUCAGCGUCCCGUCUUAUGAACCCUUCGGGGCUUCUGAGGCGGAGAUUGAGCGUAUCUGUUAGGACCCGAAAGAUGGUGAACUAUACCUGUGUAGACUGAAGCCAGAAGAAAUUCUGGUGGAAGGUCGUAGCGGUUUUGACGUGCAAAUCAAUCGUCAAAC